CGUAGCUCAGCAGGAUAGAGCGUUCGCCUCCUAAGCGAAAGGUCGUGGGUUCGAAUCCCGCCG
rnacentral:tRNA from 3 species